rnacentral:lncRNA from 1 species
AAAGCGACCACCAGUAUGUUAUCCGACGAUAACACUCCGAAAUCAAUCCACAUUCCGCUCCUCGAUGGUGAACAGCAUGAUGAUUCAUUCGUCGAGUUCUCUGGAACUCACCAGGACGUGCCACGACCAGAUAGCCUUCGCGGUUUCCUCUUGCGACCCACACGCACUGUCCACCACUACUGGAGACAGUUUGAUGAUGCCUUCAUGCGUCCUGUGUUUGGUGGUCGCGGUUUCGUUCCCUUUGUCCCUGGUUCUCCCACCGAGAGAAGCUCCCCUGAUCUCAGUAAAACCUUGCGAGAAAGCUUAUAGAAACUUCUCCGAAAACCAAUAAACUUCUUCUUCUUCUUCUUC